GUUAACUAAUAAAUUCACCUGUUGAGACACGAUGUCUUACUGUUUGUUUACAAGACUCAAAGAGAUUUUGUGUGAUUAAUAACAAAUGUAUUAUUUGUGCUUUGCCAUUUGAAGGAAGCACUACUCAAAUAGAGGUGAGAUUUUCUAUAAUUGAGGUUUUAAUAUUAAAAACACAGCAUAUCCUGUGAAACCUGAGCAAUUGUGAGAGGCAGUCCCAAAGCAUUGACUAUAAUAUGGAGUGAAGCUGAAUGUCAGUGAUUGUACCUGACAGCAUCUAAGUUUCCUCUUUUCUUCCCAUCACACUCUGAUGCUGGAGCAAUUUUGAUUUUUUUUAUUGUUGCAUUAUAAUUGGACAUAAUAGUGGACUGUUGUUACAUAUUCAUCUGUGUACAUAACAUACUUUUGUUAGUUUUAUUCUCCAUUUCUCCCCUUUCCUUUCCCUCCUCCCUUCACCUGGCUUCCUUCCUCUCCUCCAGUGGUCUCCCUUCUGUUUUCAGUCAUAUUGUUUUUAAGCUAUCAAAAUCAAAAAACAGGAUUUGUGCUUCUCAGUCAGAACAGAAAUGGGUAGCAACCUAAGGAAAUAGAUUUAGGCCCUAAAAGCUGGCCAAGUGGGACCUAGGAAUAAAGUCCUGGUUUUGUGUUAUACCGUUCUUUCAACAGAAAUGUAUUUUAAAAAUUGGAAAAUGACCUUAUAAUUGUUGUGGAUCAAAGAUAACAUUUAGAAAUAUUAGUGGUGCUUUCUCUAGAAAUUGUUUUACUCAAUAACUAGACCUAAUGCAAAAAUAAUAUCAUGAAGGAAUCUACCCUCUUUAUCAAUAUCCUAUCCCCAUUGAAAUCCUGGGAGAGACGGAGGGGAGUCAGUUUGCCUACAGACAGUAUAAGCCAGAGUAGUUUAUAAUGUGCUCUUUUUUUAAA
rnacentral:lncRNA from 1 species